UACGAAGGUGGGCAAGCGUUACUCGGAAUUACUAGGCGGUAAAGGGCAAGGGUAGGUGGUUCGGGUUAGUCUGUUGUGAAAGCUCCUUGCUUAAACGGGGAGGAGGCCAACAGACUACUGCCGGACUUUGAAGUAUAGGAGAGGGUACUGGAAUUCCCGGUGUGAAGCGGGUAGCAAAUGCGCAGAGAAUCGGGAGGAACACCAAUGGCGAAAGCAGGUACCUGGACUAGUUACUGAACACCUCGAGCUGCGAAAGCUAGGGGAGCAACAGG
rnacentral:rRNA from 1 species